GCAAGUCGAACGGAAAUUUAUUUUCGUGGCGAACGGGUGAGUAUAAGCAGAAUUCUUCCUUUCAGUUUAGAACAAAGACUUCGUUUUCAAAGUUAAAUUCUAAAUAUUAUUAAAGGUUUACUUUUUAAGUAUUCCGCUGAAAGAUAAAUCUGUUAAAGAUUAGGUUGUUGGUAAUUUAAAAGCUUACCAAGCCUAUGAUCUUUAGUUGGUCUUAGAGGAUGAUCAACCACACUGGAACUGAAAUAAGGUCCAGGCUGACAUGUCGGCCAGCAGUGAGGAAUAUUGGACAAUGAACGAAAGUUUGAUCCAGCAAUACUAACUGGGUGAUGACGGCUUAUUUAAGUUGUAAGAUCCUUUAAUUAAAGAAGAUAAUGACAUUAUUUAAUUGAACUAGUCCUGGCUAAUACUCGUGCCAGCAGCCGCGGUAAUACGGGAAGGGCAAGCGUUAUCCGGCAUGACUGGGCGUAAAGAGUCCGUAGACUGUAAAGUAAGUUUCCUUGUUAAAUUUUAAAACUCAAUUUUAAAACAGCAAUUAAUACUGCUUUACUUCGAGUUUAAUACAGAANAGUAGAAUUUUAUACGA
rnacentral:rRNA from 1 species